GUUUGGGUGGUGUAGUAGUAUAGUACUGUAGUUGGUUAUGCUACACACUAGAGGUGCCCGGUUCGAACCCGGGCUCAGACA